UGGUUUUUCUUCUUAUAAUUCUGAUACGCCUGCCUAGGCGUAUUCUAGAUUUUUUUUUCCUAAAAUGAAUAUCUUAAUAGGAUAUUACCAUUUUUUCGGAUUUUGGGCGGGGCCUAAGCUCGGUCUUGGGGUUUUUCCGCCAGGCCUUAUGAAGCCCGGCCCGUCCAGUUGUUUGGAAGAGAUGUACGGUGAUAGCUGGCUUUACCGAGUCUAGACAGUUUUCAUUUUUUCGGAUUUCGGGCUUGGCCUAAGCUCGGUCUUGGGGUUUUUCUGCCAUGAUUUCUGAAGCCUGGCCCGGCCAGUUGUUUUCUCAGGUUAGAGAAGAGGUGACGGUGACAUGUGGCUGUACAGAGUCUAGACAGCAACGAGGGGAGAUUUUUUUUUUGAAACUUUUAAUGAGAGUUUCCCGGUUGGUACUCAUCGGACCACGUUCCAACUGCCCAUGAGCCAAGUUUUGUGCCGAAGCCCGGCCCAAAAAACACAAAAUGAGUUAAAAUUAAUAUUUUUAAAAGUAGAUAAAAAAUCAUUUAUUUAUCCAAAUUAUUAUUUUAAUAUAAAAUGACCAUUUUUCGGGCCGGGCAUUGCUCGGGCUUGGGUUUUCCCGCCUGGCAUGUUGUUUGCCCGUGUUAGAGAAGAAUAGGUAUAUGGUGACAGCUGGCUCAGCAGAGUCUAGCCAGUAACGGGAGAGAACUUAUUUUCUCAGUUGGUACUCAUCGGACCGCCACGUUCCAACUUAUCAAUGGUGGGGUUGUCAAAUCUACGUCUCUAAAUUGCGCAGCAAAGCUUGCUCGUGC
rnacentral:lncRNA from 1 species